rnacentral:rRNA from 1 species
GUGCCAGCCGCCGCGGUAAUACGUAGGGUGCGAGCGUUAAUCGGAAUUACUGGGCGUAAAGCGUGCGCAGGCGGUUAUGCAAGACAGAUGUGAAAUCCCCGGGCUCAACCUGGGAACUGCAUUAGUGACUGCAUAGCUAGAGUGCGGCAGAGGGGGAUGGAAUUCCGCGUGUAGCAGUGAAAUGCGUAGAUAUGCGGAGGAACACCGAUGGCGAAGGCAAUCCCCUGGGCCUGCACUGACGCUCAUGCACGAAAGCGUGGGGAGCAAACAGGAUUAGAUACCCUGGUAGUCCACGCCCUAAACGAUGUCAACUGGUUGUUGGGGAUUUACUUCCUCAGUAACGAAGCUAACGCGUGAAGUUGACCGCCUGGGGAGUACGGCCGCAAGGUUAAAACUCAAAUAAAUUGGCGG